ensembl:lncRNA
AAGGAAGGGAGAGUGGCCACGUCUUCCGGGACCCCGGAGCUCCGCGCCCAGCCUGCCCGCCGCCUCGCCUCCCAAGCCAGCCCCGCCGCUCCGCGCCCACUGCCCCGUCGCUUACCUUAAUAGUCCCGUCCAUUUGGCCAAGUCUGCAGCCGAGCCCCCCAAUAUUCCACACAUUGACCCGGUUACAGCCUGACCUCGCAGCCCCUUCGGAUUAGCCCGGCGCGGCCUCUCUGGCGCCCUGGGCCCUCCCUGCGUGCCCCCCGCGAGCGCCCUGCCCUCGCUCCCCUGUGCACGUUUGUUGUUGUAGCGGAGCGAAAAAGAGACAGUUAACCGGAUGAAACUUUUUUUCAGCUAAUUUUGGGAAGUGACUUCACUUUGCGAAUGGGGAGGAAGUCCUAUCUCUCUCUCUCUCUCUCCCUCUCUCUCUCUCUCUCUCUGUCUCGCGCUCUCCUCUCUCUUCUCUUCUCUCCCCUCUGGUCUCCCUCGUCUUCCCUCCCCCCCCCACACCCCUUCUUCCUCCCCUCGGCUGCUCCUGCUUUUCGCAUCACACACACUAUAUAAAUAUACGCGGAGAUGCCCAGAUACAUUCAUGCGCUGCGCACACAGGAUACUUGCUCCCGGGAGAUAAGAGCGAACUAGGAACAAUGCCGGGGUCCACGCCCGGCGCCCGCGCCCUGAUUCCCGAGGUCUGCAAGCCUCCCCCCAUCACCUUCGCCCAAAGUCCAACACCAAACGCCUUUGGCCUCCUUCCUUUCCCCGGGGCUGUUGGCUGAAGGUGGCCCUCCUGACUCAUUCACUUUCCGUUUCUUCCCACAGAUACGUUCAUUAAUGCUUUUUCCAGCCGGAGACAAAUUUUGGGGGGGGGGGAGUGCAGAAGAGUUUACUCGGGCUGGGGAUAACCUGGAGCUUACUGCCCUGGAAGACCUGGACGCAAACCGAAGCAGACCAACCAUUAAAAAGUGCAUCCAAUGGACAUUCUUCCACUCGGGCCCUCGACUGCGGAGUCGCGCAAACUCCUGGAGCGGCUCACGCAACUACGCGGGCUCCUGCGGUUUCGGACGGACCUCGGCCGUCGGGGGCGGGGACUCGGCUCCCAGCGCGGUUAGCGAAGGGACGCCCUCGGGGCGGUGCGCCUCGGUCCCUCAGCUACUGGAGAGCUCCCGGCUCCGGGAUCCGCGGCACCCCAGGCCACUUAUCCGCGCCAUCUAGGGUCAAACCCCUCGCGCAUACCCCGACCCAAGGGCCCAAACCCUUGCGCCCGGGCGCCCGGGCCAGUGCUGCCUAUGCAGUGCCACCUUUGGCCCCAAGAAACCUACGGUACAGCGAGACGAUCCCUCCAGGCUGUCCGGCAGGUCUCCAGAACACAGCUUGCAACAUCCCCGCACCGACCCAGACCUCUCCCAGCCCAGACUCUGUCGACCUUCAAAUGACAACAAGGCUUUCAGGAGGGAGCAGGGAGACUGCUUCCCACCAGGACCUGACCAGAAACCCGGCACCCUCAGCCUCAUUCUCCCUCUUUCAGGCAGAAAGACCGCCAAUCUACCACAGGAGGCCCCCUUCUCGGUGCUGGGCAAACACUGAGGUCAUUAAUGGCCACCCCAGGCCAGGCAGUGGCUCCCCCUUCUAGGGCUUGUGAAGGCACCUCUGUGGCAAAACAUUGGCCAGUCUUCUCUUUCCAACUCCUCUUCUGCCUGGCAACUACCUGCCUUCACUGCUCUGAUCACCCCAACGUCCCUAGCAUCCCUGCCUCUCUUCUUGGGAGAACUCCAUGUGGAACUAAAUUAAAAUGAGGACUUGUCCUCCUGUUUGAACUGUGGGACUCAUGAGCACUUUCUGUUUCUGCCUUAAAACCAAAGCAAUUGUGUAAUUUGGAAGUUGGGGGUGGGGUGGGGAGAGGCUGUCAUUGGCAUAGCUGUCACCCCUUAGUGACUCUGACUGGCAUUGGUGCCUUAGCUUUUGGUAUUUACCAGCCCUUCCAUGAGAAGCCCCUGUCCAUUCACAGAGACCUCCACCCAGAAAGAAAAGCCCCCCCCCCAAUUCUGAACAGCCCCCUGAAGGAACCUGAGAUCCCCUGCAACUCGUGUUGACAUGGCAGUGGGCAGGUCUGCCCACUUAUGUAACUCUGGUUUUGAUGCCCUACUCCACGGCUGCUGCUGCUUUUUUAAAUCCCGAAGGGGGAAAAAGUCCUAACCAAACACAACAGUAAACAAGUCUGCCCUGUUUAAUGUGGUUACCACCAGACAUCUGGAAAGAUGGUUUGAUCCUGGCAGCUCACAUUGUUUUCACGAGCCGCCAAAGAGAAUAUUUCGAAUGUUUGCAUUGAGACAAAUUGAUAGAGAGCCUGUGGUGAGACGGCUACAGAUGAAAACUGUCUUGGAGUUGGGAAGGGGGGAAGCCUUCCUCCUCUCUCCCCUCUCCCUCCCCUUCUCUCCUCUCACCCCUCUCCCCCUUCCCCUUUCUCCUCCCCCUCCUCGCUGGUCACUUGGCCCAGCUAAGGGCUGGUUACCCCAGCCCACACACUAGCUCACACCCUCUUUCCUGGCUCACCAGAGAAUGUCCUGCUUCUCUCUUUCCCAGACUAGGCAGGGCUGGUGCCCAGGAGCUGGUGCCACCGGCUACCAUCCUCCCCACUCCACUAGCCCCGGCUAUUAUCAAGAGUGUUGGGGAAGGAAGCUUACAGCCAAGGGAGCUGGGCUAGCAUUUAAAACAAAAGCUAUCAACUUGGGGGGGUGAGGGGGGAGACCAACCAAACAGCCCACCACACCUUUCUAAGUCUCAGGUCACUUGUUAAAAGCAGGCCCACGGGAGCAAAUAUUCUGGAAACCUUUGGACUUGGAGCAUU